rnacentral:rRNA from 1 species
UACGAAGGGUGCAAGCGUUACUCGGAAUUACUGGGCGUAAAGCGUGCGUAGGUGGUUUGUUAAGUCUGUUGUGAAAGCCCCGGGCUCAACCUGGGAAUGGCAAUGGAUACUGGCAAGCUAGAGUGCGGUAGAGGGUAGUGGAAUUCCCGGUGUAGAGGUGAAAUGCGUAGAGAUCGGGAGGAACACCAGUGGCGAAGGCGGCUACCUGGACCAGCACUGACACUGAGGCACGAAAGCGUGGGGAGCAAACAGG